AGAAAUAGUCCAAUUACUCAAUUAGCCUCAAUUGCACCGGAAAAGAAGGAUGGGGUGGUUGAGCUCUUACGCCGGUGCAGUCGCACUAGCUCUUGCUCCCACAAUCGCUCCUUCUUUUCACUCCACACACACUCUUUUCUUCCAACAAUUCCCAAACCCUCUCUUCAAAUGCCACACCUUUUCAACUCUCUCUCUUACUUAUCGCAAGCUGUUGCUGGCUCCUCCGUGCCACGCGCUACGCGCUGCUGCACAACCGUCAAGGGAUGAUUAUGAUGAUUCUGAUUUCGUGGUUGUCAAUUUCUACCAUUUUGUGUUUAUCAAAGAUCCUCAAGCUGAGGUCACUAAACACCUUUCGUUCUUGGAGGGUCUCAAUCUUGACAUCAAUGGAAGAGUUUAUUUGAAUGAACAAGGGAUUAAUGCGCAGUUUAGUGGACCAUCAAAAGAUGCACUGAAAUAUGUCAACUGGUUGAGAGAGGAUAAGAGGUUUUCAGAUAUCCUGGUUCAGAUAUCUCCAUCACAAAAUGGACAUGCCUUUCCAAAAUUGAAGUUGCGGUAUAAGCCCUCAUUAGUACAGGUUGAAGGUGGCGUAUCACAUCUUCCAUUGCUUGAUCCUUCAAUGCGGGCAAUACCUUUAGAACCUUCAGAAUGGAGAAAUAGAUUGGAACCAACCAAUAAAAAUGAUCUUACAUCAAAAGAAUAUCUAAAGAGGAAUUACAUUCUAUUGGAUGUAAGAAAUGGUUAUGAGUGGGAUAUUGGACAUUUUAAUGGGGCCCAACGACCUAAUGUGGACUGCUUUAGGAGUACUUCAUUUGGUAUGUCUCAACAAGAGAUCUCUGCAUCAGAUCCUUUAUCAAAUGUAGAUAAAGAAAACACAAACAUAUUGAUGUAUUGCACUGGAGGGAUUCGCUGUGAUGUAUAUUCUACAAUACUAAGGCAGCAAGGAUUUCAGAAUUUGUAUACCUUGAAAGGAGGUGUUUCUCACUAUUUAAAGAAUGAAGGUCCUGCAAAAUGGGUAGGAAACUUAUUUGUAUUUGACUCUCGUCUCUCUCUCCCUCCGUCUGUGUACUAUCCCCAGGCCACAACUGAAGCAGACAUGACCCAAAUUUCUGGAGUUGAUAAGUUUGCAAAAUGCUACCUAUGUAGUUCAGAAGUCAGCGAAUUGAGACACAGGAAUUGUGCAAAUCUUGACUGUAAUUUGCUGUUUUUAUGCUGCAGUCAAUGUGUAAAGGACCUAAGGGGAUGUUGUUGUUUGAGUUGCACUACUGCCCCGCGGCUUAGACCUGUUCUAAUCGGAGAUUCGAGAUACAAAAAGUGGCACAUUUAUCGCGAUAUGGAUUUGCAACACAGCAUGAAAAUUUCAGCUUGAAUAGACAUUUUUUUUAUUAACCACAGCAGCAUGCCAUCAUAUAAUUUCAUAAGGCCAGUUAUCUGGAUUAUAACUGUUUAUGAAGCGUGCAGUGAAAAGCCAUACUGCAGUAAGCUAAUGUUGUAACAUUAUUGAAAUUUAACCAUGUAAGUAUUCAACGGAAUUUUGUUCAUGUAAACGUGCUCUAUUUUUGCUCAAUCAAGUUAGUCUUUACAAAGUUUCCAA